GCCUGGCUGGGCUGUGGUGGGAGCUCCCUGCGGGCCUCCGUCGUGUCUUUGCAUAUGCAGGAAUCUCCCGGAACCCUUGAGAGCUGUCAUGCCCACCUGCUGCCGCUCGUUCCUGGCUGCUGGCAAAGACCGCUGUAGCCCACUUGGGUAUGUGAUAUACUUGACCUGGGAAGGACAGAAGGUUUGACUGUGCAGAUCCCUCAUCCAGACCAGAGCAUCUGCACCAGGUGUGAUGACAGCAUCCUCUGCAAGUUGUAAAAGUUGCACAGUGAUGGUCCCGAGGGAGGAGGCUCCUGGCUCUGGUUCAGGGCUGAAGUGUCUUCAUUUGCUUGACCUUUGUCUUAUGGUUACAAAUGGCGACUAGAACUUCAGGCAAGAGCUACACAUUC